UGGGAGGAGAAGUGGCCAUUUUUAACUGGAAUUGCAGCCACUGGUUUCCACUUGUUCUGUUUUCAAUUGUCAAAGGGAUUUGAAAGAUGCAUCCACAACAUCUCAGUCCUUGCAGUCCUGCUCACCAGCAAGCAGAAAGCUGACUGCCUUGCUCAGAGGAGCCUCUGAAGGAGCACCAGCAUUCAAAGCAGCUCUCCAGCACAUGGCACUGUCAUCCCAAAAAGAGAUUUUCAAGCUCAUGGAAGAACCAUGGGAAGUUCUGAGGACUCCACAGCUCUGCUGGAGUCCAUGGGAGGCUCCCUGAGUUCUUAUAUGUUGAACUGGGAUGGAGUUUAAGUACUUCCAGUCCACAGAAUCAAAAUCAAAUUUCUCCCAGAUAAGUGA